rnacentral:lncRNA from 1 species
CUUUGCUCUUCCAUCACAGAUUAUGGCUUCUUUACACCUUGUCUGUUGGAGCUACAAACCCAAGAGGAGCUUUCCCUCUCUCCCUGCCUCUCUCUUUUAAAUUAGGUACUCAGUCCAAUCGAGUCUUCAAAGAAUAAGUUUUAAAGUUAUGACAACGAUGAACCCUACUUAUUUUUCUCCAUAAGCUUCUUGAAGUCAGGGUAGCAGAGGUGGGAUACAGGGAUAUGGAUAUGGGACACAGGGAGGAGGCUUUCUUUUCCUUUUCUUUCAAUGGGAGAAUCAAUGCAAGUUCUGCGUACAGUUUCUCUGCGUUUCAAAGUGUGCAGAUAGAAAGAAUGAUAUGCUCGGUGGAGGUGCUGAUGGAAUAUAGAUAUAUAUGUGCAUGAAAAAUUAAAAAGCAACUGUGGAAUGCCUUUCCAGAGCUGCUGCAGUGACGGCUAUAGUUUGACAUACAAGUGGAUUCAUUACCACGAUUACAAACAAAAGUUACACACACCAUUUGUACUUAUGCAACACACUGCUCCGCCAAAUCCUCGGGACUACAGCGGCAUUUUAAACUACUGUUUGUUGUUGUUGUUUUUUGGUCUUGCCUGAAAAUUGCUAAUAUUCAUCUCCGAGCCUGUAACUUUUUAAGUAUUAGGUCCGGCGUUAAGCUGACCGCACGUUUCAGGGGACAGGGUGCUUCUUGCAUGGCAGGCACCCCUUGGUGGGACCGCCGAGCGAUCGAGGGCACUUCCCGAGUCCCGGGGGCACGGAGAGGGGCUGCCGCUGCCUCCUCGCACAGGGGCUCUCGGUAAGCAGCACCCACCGGCCGAGUGACACCGCGAUGGAGGCAGGAGUGCGCGGCACCGGCGCUGGGGAUGGCAGGAGGUAACCUACACAUGGCUCUCGGCGAAGCUCCGUGGGAGGACGGUUCCCGGCGGGGAUGGGAACGGGGUCUCGCUGCGCGCCCCCCCCCCUUAUCCCCGGGAGCCCGCCGCCCCCCAAACCCCCUCCCAGCUCCCAGGAGCGGGGCGGGGGGCGCGGCGCUGCCUGACGCCGGCUUGGUCGGGGGCGGGACCGCCGGGACCGCGCUGCUCCCUCCCGCCCGCCCCCGUCCCCAUCGCCGUCCCCGUCCCCGCCGCCGGGUCCCGGGCCCCAUCUCCGCCCCCGCGCUGUCCCCGCCGGGCCCGGCGCUGCGGGGACCGCCCCGGCCGCGGCAUGGCCGGCGCGCUGGGCAGGGGGGCGGCGGGCUGGCGGCUGCGGAGCGCGGCGGGCGGCAGGAAGGAGAAGCCGCCGGGCGGCAAGCCCCAGCCGCCACCGCACGAAAAUAUGAAGAAGCCCUGGAGCCCUGACUUACCAGCUGAUAACCACUUGUAUAAUUCAGAUUUCACAUCCAUCCCAGGCAGAGAAAGUGAGAAAGAAUUAGCACCUGAUGGCACUGAAGAAAAGAAGGAGAGAGAAAAGAAACAGACCAAUUUCACUUUGUGCAAUGUUUGUAACAUUCAGCUGAACUCUGCUGCUCAGGCACAAAUCCACUACAAUGGCAAAUCCCAUCAGAAGAGGUUAAAACAGCUCAGCAAUGGAAAUCUCAAAAGUGAUAAUGGUGAGCAUUAAUAUAUAUUUGUAUAACUUUUGCCUUGUGUAAGCUGUAUGGCUUUGACUAUUUAGUACAUAUGGAACUGGAUGUGGACAGUUAAAUAUGCUUUUUGCAAAAUUAACUUUGUACUUACGAAUACCAAAUUUAAAUAUCCAUGAUCUCAUUAUUCUUCAGUGUUAUAUGUUCUUCUAUUGCAUUCUUGGGGCAGGAAGAAUUAGAUUAGAUGCAAGAAAGCUGAAGAAUCAGGUAUGUAGUCCUAAGUUUUAAAUAUUAAAUUUUUAGUGGAUUGAAUACAUCUCUUAGAAACUUUCAUAGAUGUAUUUUUAUUUUUUUAAACAGGUCUCAAUCAAAACUUUAAGGACUACUUUUAGCAAAAUGGAUUUAGUUAUGCCCUUGUGAUCUUGUACUACAGAGAACCUUGACUCAUUGUGUAUAGAAUUGUCAGUAAGCACUGUUAUUGGUGUUGAGCUGAGAAAUGCAGCAAUGUGCAUAAUGUCAAUAUAUAAGAGCAAACAUUUAUUUUGUUCAGCCAAAUCCUUUGACGUUAAUGCAGAGACUCUCUGUGGCUUCAGAGUACUUGGUGUCAUCCCUGACAUGAAUGCCUGGCAAAUAGCUAAAGGGUAUACCGUCUGUGUUGUUUCAAGUGUUUUGAUUUUAUAUUUUGUUUACGUGAUGGUGUUGGUUCAGAUUCUUUGUCAUUCCAUUUACAUUUUGAUGGUUUUCAGCAUAAUCCAUGAUAUUUCACAUUUCACAGUCUGUUAGGAAGGUUGCACUUGAUGGGGUGUUUUUGCUUUUAAUUGAUUUAAGGCAGUUACAAAAUAAAUUGGAAAAAAUACAUUACACAAAACAAAUACAUUCUCUAAGGCAUUUCACUUUAGUUUUGUUAUUCAGGUUUCAACCUAUGGUUAGCAUAAAUCUGUUCAACCCAUGUCUAGCAUAAAUCUGUUUAAAGAUCAGAGUUGAAGCCCAAAGGAGGUGGAACAAAGAUUGGUUUUGUUUUAAUCUGUUUCAUUGAUGGCUUUGUGAAAAAUAUGUUGUGGUAGGUGGCAUGUUUUCCUAUCAUCAGAGUGAGUUGUGUGCCUCAAAAAAAAAAAAAAAUAAAAAAAUCAUGCCUGGGGCUUUAUGUACAGAGAUAGAUCAGAUUACAUGGUCCCUGACAAGAAAAAAAAGAUUACUAUAUUAUAAUUUUGGUUCUCAAUUUCAUAACUUGUAAUGCUUAACUUUGCUGUAGUAGGGGUAGAUUUACACUGUUUUGGUCUGUUUCUAUGUACCAUGUCAUAGAAAUGAGGGCUUUAAUAGGAUGCACUUAGACCUUUUCUUCAGACCUACAGAAGCAUUCUUUAAUAUUGUGUUCCAUUAAUUACUUCCUGCCCAUUUGUAGAAGCAUAUGCUUAGCACUAAUCCUCAAUAGGGUUUAAGAGGUAUUUUAAUAUUGUCUCUGCUUUGUCCUGAUUUUAGGAGUAUGAGAGCUUGCUGGGAAUAAUAUAUGGAUAUGUUGAUGAAGUAUGUUGGAUGUGGGUGCUUUGCUGUGAGGAUAAGCUCAUAUCAUUAAAACAAACCAAUAAAACAAAAACAAACAAACAAAAACAUCACACUGAAUAACACAAAUAAUUUUACCUUUAAAGGGGAGAGUACAACUUUUAGCACUGUUCAUAGUUCAGGCUUAGAAAGAAUACCACUAACAUUAAUAGGAGCUGUGUGAGUGCUUAAAGAUUGCUUUCCUAGAUGAUUAAAAGUAGAAUGUGGUUAUCCACAAAUGCAUUCUUUCUAAAAACAAAUAAAUACAUUCUAAUGUUAUUACUGUCUUCAGUUAAGGUAAAAUUGUGUUGUCUUUGUUAUUAGAACAACAAUUUUGGUAGUGAAAGUGUUGUUUUUCUGCAGUUCAUUUUUCUGCUUUAUUCCAUGGCAACAAAAUGAUUAGUAAUUAAGCAAUACUGAAAUUAAUGUCAAAGUGUUUCAGUCAUGCAUCAACAUUUGUAUUCUAGGGAGUAUCAAAGCAGUAGCAUAUCAGUAUGUUUCUUAUUUCCUCCUUAAAAUGUAUCUGUAUCUCAUGCUUCCAUUUGUAAUCAGAACAUAACUAACUGUCUAGCUCUUUGUUUCAAAAUGAAGUAAUUUCUGGAGGGUUGCUGAAAAGAUGACUCUCCAAAUCUGGCAAAUCUUUGAGUAUCACCAAAAGUAGCACUGCACUGGGAGAAGAACAUAGCGAAGAGCAUAAGGAAGCGAUUUUCCCAUAUCACCACACUUUGACAUUUCAUAUUCUUCAAACUGAAAAUUUCAAGUGAAUAGAGACCAAUAUUGUAUAUUUCUUUCUAAAACUGAGUGUAUGAACUGAAAAAUUAGAACUGAAUGUUUGACCUGAACAGCCCGUAAUUUUAACAGAGAUGCACUGCUUGAGAUCCCUUUUCUAAAUCAAUUAGAAACAGGACCUGACAGGCCUUCCACAAUAACAUCCUCUGUCAAAACUGGUAUACUUAUAUACGAGCAAUAUAUACUUAAAUACGAGCAAUAUUUUUCAGAUGAAUUAUUGUUUUGUUGAUGAGACCCCAGCAAGCUCGAGUGACACAACUGUGGCUGAAAAAAAUUAUUACUUGACCCUUUCAGUUUAUCAUGUGUACACAAAUGAAGCUUUUUGAAGGUCACUGAUGUAACCAAAGUAACUGUUAAAAGAUGUACAAUACUGUUUAUUCAAUAUGUGUCAAUAGGUUGCUUUAUUUAUGAGAAUGGCGUUUCUCGUGUAGAAGUGUUAUUGUCACAGAAGACAGCUGUUAUGCUCAGUGUUCAGGUUGCUGGUCUAAUCACUUGAGACUAAAUUCUGGUGUAAAUUGAAACUUUUGCUUCAUGAGAUUGUUGUCUAAAACUUCAUCAUCAAUGAUUUCUCAGUGUAUGUAUACUGUGAUUAGUUCUGGGGCCCCCAGCACAAUAAGGACACGGUUGUAUCCCAGAGGAGGGCCACGGGGAUGAUCAAAGGGCUGGAGUACCUCUCCGAAGACAGGCUGAGGGAGUUGGGAUUGUUCAGCCUGGAGAAGAGAAGGAUCCGGGGAGACCUUAUAGCAUCCUUCCAGUACUUCUUUAUGUGAAAAGGCUAGAAAAAAGUGUUGAAGUCUGACUGUUCCAUGUUUUUUUUCAUCUCUAAAUUAUUCCCUGAAAGAUGGGUUUACAUGUUUUUAUAUCAUGAGGGGUAAUAGAAAUGGAGGAUUAAUUUAUAUGAAGCAACAGCCCGUGUAUUGUUCCUAAACACUUUACAAUAGACUGAAAGAAGGUAGGAUUCAACUGUAUAAGUGUGUGACUGUAAUUAAAGCUAUCAUGCUAUAAUCAUCAUCUUCAAACUGUGAGGAGUAGCUUUUAUCUGUUGGACAUAAAUGACAGAACAUGUUAACAAUGCACUUGAAUAUCUCUGUGUAAUUUCAUAAGGUAAAUUGCUUAAACAAAAGUCUAUUAACCUCUGCAAAUAUACAAUUAAUAAAUAAUGUGCAUCAUGGGGAUAAAAGCAGCAUCACUUUGCUGCUAUACUAGUAUUGGUACUGAAUUUGAAAAACUCACCAGACAUACUCUAAGAACUUUGCUAGUGGUUUAUUUGUCAGCUUGGCACAUUUGCUAUAUGAGACCCACUUAUUGUCUUCCUGCAGCAAUGCAGCCUCAGAACAGCACAUUGUGAAGUCACAAAAAUGAUGUGGUGUAGUUGUGGAGACACAAUGUUUCUUGUGCCAUUACCUGGUACAGUGAUCUGAGAUGGCUUAAACGGGCAUGGUGAGAUCUCAGCACUUCUGUUCCUGAACUCUGCAUGUUUGGGAGUAAUACUUUGGGAGUAAAUUCUGUGUGUUUCUUCCUCUUAAUAAUUGCCUUUUAUGUCACUUAAAAAUACUUCUCACACUUUCUUCAUUACACUCUGUAAUAUAUUCCUUUUUCCUGAUUUUUUUUUUUUGGCCUGUCAGUUCUUGUGCAUGCAGUGACAAGGUGGCAAGCAAUUUGGUGGAAAUUUUGAGUAAAUUUUGGGAUUAAAAAGGGGUAAAAUGAUUUUCCAGCCCGGUCCACUGAAAUUGCAUCACUUCUUACAAAACCAGCCUUGACAUUGUGGAAGAAGGUGAGCUUUUUGUGAAAUAGUUUAUCCUCACCAGGAGUAAGAGUCAGGGUCCUGCUGAUAGGAUGGAAAAUUAACUGUUGAUGCAAAUGUAUAGCAGUACCAAUGAGAAAGGUGAUAUUAGCAAUAAAUAAAUAAAUAAUGUAAAGCGUAAUUUUCUCUGUGCUUUCUGAACUGUAAAUUGCUGAAUCAUAAUGAGUGAAUGGGGCAUGGUUAGGACAAAAACUGAAACUCCUCUACAAUACUUUACUUUAGAUAACAAAUGGAAAAAGAUGAGAAAUGCUACAAAAUUCAUAGAACUCCUUUCACUUUAAAAAUUGAUUUCUGAAACAUUAUUAUUUUGAAAUACAGAGUCAUUUAGUUUAGUGGGAUAUUUGGUGGUAGUUUCUUUACCUAUCUCUGUGGUUAUUUACUCUCUGAAUUCAUAACCUGGACAAGUGACUAUCCAGUUUAGCAAGUUUUAUUUAAUUUCUCUUAAACUAAAGCUG